CCUUUGUCAAGUUCAGAAAAUUUUUCCCUUACAGAAGAGCAGCCUCUAAGUCAAGAUGAUAGUACAAAGUACAGAAGCCUAGUAGGUGCACUUCAAUAUUUGACACUUACUAGGCCUGAUAUUUCUUUUGAUGUCAACAAAGUUUGUCAAUUCCUUCAUGCACCCACUACAGUUCAUUGGACUGUUGCAAAACGGAUUGUUAGAUAUGUCAAGAAUACUCUUAAUGUUGGUCUUAAUUUCAGCAAGUCACCAUCUACACUUGUAAGUGCCUUUUCAGAUUCCGAUUGGGCAGGUUGCCUGGAUGAUAGGUGGUCUACUGGUGGAUUUGCAGUGUUUUUUGGUCCCAACUUGAUAUCAUGGUGUGCAAGAAAGCAAGCUACAGUCUCUAGAUCAAGUACAGAGGCAGAAUAUAAGGCAUUGGCAAAUGCUACAACAGAGUUUAUCUGGGUACAAUCCAUCUUGAGGGAACUUGGUGUUAAAGGCACCCAAGCUCCAUGUUUAUGGUGUGAUAAUCUCGAUGCUACCUAUCUCUCUGCU
rnacentral:rRNA from 1 species